rnacentral:rRNA from 1 species
UACGUAGGGGGCAAGCGUUGUCCGGAUUUAUUGGGCGUAAAGAGCGUAUCGGCGGCCACGCAGGUCCGUUGUGAAAACUGGAGGCUCAACCUCCAGCUGUCGACGGAAACCGUAUGGCUAGAGUCCGGAAGAGGAGAGUGGAAUUCCUGGUGUAGCGGUGAAAUGCGCAGAUAUCAGGAAGAACACCAAUGGCGAAGGCAGCUCUCUGGGACGGUACUGACGCUGAGACGCGAAAGCGUGGGGAGCGAACAGG